UUCUAAAAAGCUUUAUGACCAGAUAAGGCAAAUAAAUAAUCUUCCUUUGUCAAUUGGGCUUGUUCCAGUUGCUUGUCCUCAAUCCAUUUGAUUGUUUGGGUUGUCCUCAAUCUGGCAACCCGCGUAAGCGUCCAGUCUGAGGAGGAAGGCGCGGGAAACAAAGGUUCAAAAAUUUUUUUUCAAUUUGGACUGCAGCACUCAUUUUAACCGUUAGUUGUCAAUAUUACCCGCUGCACCUUUAAUAUUGUAUUAGAUAUCUUUAGCAUUAUUGCCUACUUAAACUUCGGCCUCCAUCGCCAUCUGUGGUUGAAACAUAAAAUUACGUUAGUUUACGUCAGUUGUGCUUCUGCUAUUGUUUGCAGAGUCUCCAUAGUUACCGGUAAUCGCCAUAUCAGCGCGGAUCUGUCAUGCUGUGCGAAAAAUUUCCAACAAAGCGUAUAAAACAAAAAGACCUCAUCUGAGCAAAAGGUGUGCCGGAGUGAGAACGACCCCAGAUGUUCGUGGUGCGGCCGCCGUCCAAAUCAAUUAUUCCACUCUCAGCAUGAAUUCAAUUCUCCUGCACUCAUCAGAGGUGUGAAUAGCACCUGGGACAACAGGCACAACAGGCACACCAGGCACGGUCCCUUUCCCUGAGUGCCGCGCAGCAGUGCCCGCCUAGCUUUGGCACCUCAGCUGUCAGCCCGCUCUGCUGAUGAGGAGAAGGUGUGGGGCGAUGAAGCCGAUAAUGAAGGUUUAGAUUUACUCCGAAAUGGUUUCAUGUGGGGUUUCUCACUCUCUCCGAGGAGCUUUAGAGCUGAAGCCUCUGAAUGGCAGUAUCUGAGUGAGCCAAGACUUCAAAAGAGGGCUUUGUGAGAUCUGUCAAGGAUUUGCCUCUAAUGAGAGUUUGCCCACUUGAUGAGGGACGCCCACUUCCUCUGCGCUAAAUGCCAUAUUCAUUACCUGCUUGUCUCUGAUAUUGUGCUCUUUGUCUCUGACUUGUUGUAUUCUUUAUAAUCUGCCACUCUAGAUCAAAGUGAUCUGAUCUUUAUGCUCCCUAAAUGCAUAAGGAUCCUUACAGACGGGUAGAAACAGAGGAAAGACUAACUAACUAACGCUAAGAUCUAAGUAAUAAAACAUAUAUAGACCUUGACAGAAGGUUUAAAACUAACUAAAAUGAACUAACUAGUGAGAUGAUAUCUGUGCUUGAUAGUCUAGAAACGGGGAAAAAAUAAAACCAAGAUUAUUACAGAGAUACAAAAUAAAUAAAUAAUAAUUCCAUGUUUAAUUCAGUGAUACUUGCUGUUUCUUUGUAAUUAUUUGUGAAAUUUACUAGCAAUUUCUGAAUGAAAAUCUUUCAACGUAAAUUCUACAACAUUUUUAUUCAGUGUAAUUAAAUACAUAGUAAGCUGAUGUUUAUUUUUAAUUAAAACAAGAGGACAAGAGCACAGCUAACUAACUUACUAACUAACUGUCUAUCAUAGGCAAACACAUACUGACUCUGGCAGAAGGGUAGAAACAGGAAAGACUGACUAGCUAACUAAUUAAGUAUAAAAACUAGACCUUGACAGAAGGAUUAAAACAGAGGAAACCUAAAUAACUAGUGAGAUGAUGUCUGUGCUCGAUAAACAUAUAAGCAACCUCACAAAAGUGUAAAAACAGGACAAAAACUAAAUAAGUGUACUGAGGUUUAAUCCUGAUAACAACAUAAUGGCACUGACAGAAGGAUUAAAACAGAGCAAAGCUUACUUAACUAGCUAAUUAUAUAAUUAACUAGUAAUCUGAUACUAGGUAAACAUAUAUGGACCCCUGGCAGAAAGGUAGAAAGAGAAAAGACAAACUGUAAAAUCGAACUAAUAAAGCAAAGACAUUGACAGAACGAUUAAAACAGAGGAAAUCACUAACUCAUAAGCAACCUUACAAAAGUGUAAAAAUAGCUCAAACUAACUAAGUGUACUGAGGUUUAUUUCUGAUAACAACAUAAUGGCGCUGACAGAAGGAUUUAUGACAGCAAAGCUAACUUAACUAGCCUUUUAUAAUUAACUAGUAAUCUGAUUUUAGGUAAAUACAUAUGGGCCCUGGCAGAAGGGUAAACAGAAAAAAGACUAACUACCUAGCUAAAAAAAAUUAACUAAUCAGCGACAGAAGGAUUAAAACAGAGCAAAACCAAAUAAUUAAAUAACUGACUAGAUGAUGUUUUUGCUCGACAAACAUAUAAGGACCCUCACAGAAGUGUAGAAACAGGAAAAAACGAACUAAAUAAAUAAAUAAAUACUGAUAAAACAUAAUGGCCCUGACAGAAAGAUCAAAACAGUGCAAAGCUAACUUCCCUACUAACUAGUGAUCUGAUUGUAAACACACAUAGUGACCUUGGCAGAAGGGUAUAGGAAAAAUAGCUAACUAACUAACCAGCAAACUAGCCAGCCAACUAACUAACUAAUGGUGUGAUUUUCUGAUUGCUAAACACAUAGGCACACUGAGAGAAGGGCAGGAAAAGCUAAUCAAGUAAAUAAAUAAAUCCUAAUAACUUUUAGGGCAUUAAUCCCACUAAUGAAAUGAAUCAUUUGAAUGAAACCAUAUGUAGAAGCAUCUGCUUUCUCUGACUCUUAACUUGCUGAAAAGUCCAAACUAUCUCCAGAGUCUCUCUUGCAGCACACCAAGCACUGUUUUCAAAUGGAAGGGCCAUCUGUCCUCCGCUCUUCCCUUGCGAGGGCUUUUCUUGGCACACAGGGAUGCUCUACCUCCACCGCCGACACUCUGAAAUAACUCUCUCCAGACAACUCCCAAAAGUGGUGGGAUAUGGACUGUGAUUGGACGUUCUUGUCUUUUAAUGCAAAAAUGGAAGACAAAUCUAAGAAUAUCUUCUUAAAUAUCUUCAUCUCCUGAAUCCUUUAUGUCCGUUCCACCUGUCACAAAAGUCCUGAAUGGUUGAGAGCUAAAGAGGCCCGUGGCAGUAGGAUGCAUGAAUGAGAUCGAACUGGACGGUCAAAAACUGACCCAUUUCUCUAGAUGGAGGGACCAAAUGUAAGAAUCUGCCACUGAAAAAUACAUAUUGAGUGACCGCUCAUCUGAAGAUCACGAGUUAUUGGCCCACAAUAACUGCCAAUAGAAGUUCAUACCAGUGUUUCCAUCUGCAGCAGCUUGUU